GAUGAACGCUGGCGGCGUGCUUAACACAUGCAAGUCGAACGGUGAACACGGAGCUUGCUCUGUGGGAUCAGUGGCGAACGGGUGAGUAACACGUGAGCAACCUGCACCUGACUCUGGGAUAAGCGCUGGAAACGGCGUCUAAUACUGGAUAUGUGACGUGACCGCAUGGUCUGCGUUUGGAAAGAUCUUUCGGUUGGGGAUGGGCUCGCGGACUAUCAGCUUGUUGGUGAGGUAAUGGCUCACCAAGGCGUCGACGGGUAGCCGGCCUGAGAGGGUGACCGGCCACACUGGGAUUGAGACACGGCCCAGACUCCUACGGGAGGCAGCAGUGGGGAAUAUUGCACAAUGGGCGAAAGCCUGAUGCAGCAACGCCGCGUUAGGGAUGACGGCCUUCGGGUUGUAAACCUUUUUUAGCAGGGAAGAAGCGAAAGUGACGGUACCUGCAGAAAAAGCGCCGGCUAACUACGUG
rnacentral:rRNA from 1 species